rnacentral:rRNA from 1 species
GAUGAACGCUAGCGGCAGGCUUAAUACAUGCAAGUCGAGGGGUAGCAAGAUUGUAGCAAUACAAUUGUUGACGACCGGCAAACGGGUGCGGAACACGUACACAACCUUCCUACAAGUGGGGAAUAGCCCAGAGAAAUUUGGAUUAAUACCCCGUAACAUAGCGAUGUGGCAUCACAUUGCUAUUAUAGCUUCGGCGCUUGUUGAUGGGUGUGCGGCUGAUUAGAUAGUUGGCGGGGUAACGGCCCACCAAGUCUACGAUCAGUAGCUGAUGUGAGAGCAUGAUCAGCCACACGGGCACAGUGACACGGGCCCGACUCCUACGGGAGGCAGCAGUAAGGAAUAUUGUACUAUGGACGCAAGUCUGAUCCAGCCAUGCCGCGUGAAGGAUUAAGGUCCUCUGGAUUGUAAACUUCUUUUAUAAGGGACGAAAAAAGGUCUUUCUAGAUCGUCUGACGGUACCUUAUGAAUAAGCACCGGCUAACUCCGUGCCAGCAGCCGCAGUAAAAC